rfam:Homo sapiens chromosome 2, GRCh38 reference primary assembly.
GCUGGGUUUGGUGGUAUGCAACUGUAAUCCCAGCUACUCAGGAGGCCAAGGCAGGGGGAUUAGUUGAGCCCAGGAGUCCUGGGAUGUAGGGUGCUAUGCUGAUCAGGGUGCUAUGCUGAUCAGGUGUCUGCAUUAAGCUUGCUUCCAAUAUGGUAAACUCCCUGGAAUGGGGGACCACCAGGUUGCCAGAGGACGGGUGAACUGGCCCAGGCUGGAAAUAGAGCAGGUCAAAACUCCUCUGCUGAUAUGGUUUGGCUCUGAAUUCCCACCAAAAUCUCAUGUCAAAUUGUAAUCCCCAGUGUUGG